rnacentral:rRNA from 1 species
UACGUAGGCAGCGAGCGUUGUUCGGAGUUACUGGGCGUAAAGAGUGCGUAGGCGGUCUUCUAAGUUUGGUGUGAAAUCUCCCGGCUUAACUGGGAGGGUGCGCCGAAGACUGGAAGGCUUGAGUAUGGGAGAGGUAAGCGGAAUUCCAGGUGUAGCGGUGAAAUGCGUAGAUAUCUGGAGGAACACCGGUGGCGAAGGCGGCAUCCUGGACCGGCAUUGACGCUGAGGCGCGAAAGCCAGGGGAGCAAACGGG